AGUCGUAACAAGGUCUCCGUUGGUGAACCAGCGGAGGGAUCAUUACCGAGUUAUACAACUCAUCAACCCUGUGAACAUACCUAAAACGUUGCUUCGGCGGGAACAGACGGCCCCGUAACACGGGCCGCCCCCGCCAGAGGACCCCCUAACUCUGUUUCUAUUAUGUUUCUUCUGAGUAAAACAAGCAAAUAAAUUAAAACUUUCAACAACGGAUCUCUUGGCUCUGGCAUCGAUGAAGAACGCAGCGAAAUGCGAUAAGUAAUGUGAAUUGCAGAAUUCAGUGAAUCAUCGAAUCUUUGAACGCACAUUGCGCCCGCCAGUAUUCUGGCGGGCAUGCCUGUUCGAGCGUCAUUACAACCCUCAGGCCCCCGGGCCUGGCGUUGGGGAUCGGCGAGGCGCCCCCUGCGGGCACACGCCGUCCCCCAAAUACAGUGGCGGUCCCGCCGCAGCUUCCAUUGCGUAGUAGCUAACACCUCGCAACUGGAGAGCGGCGCGGCCACGCCGUAAAACCCCCAACUUCUGAAUGUUGACCUCGAAUCAGGUAGGAAUACCCGCUGAACCUAAGCAUAUCAAUA
rnacentral:misc_RNA from 1 species